AACGAACGCUGGCGGCAGGCCUAACACAUGCAAGUCGAGCGGACCUUUCGGGGUCAGCGGCGGACGGGUGAGUAACGCGUGGGAAUAUGCCCUUCUCUACGGAAUAGUCCUGGGAAACUGGGGGUAAUACCGUAUACGCCCUUUGGGGGAAAGAUUUAUCGGGGAAGGAUUAGCUCGCGUUGGAUUAGGUAGUUGGUGGGGUAAUGGCCUACCAAGCCGACGAUCCAUAGCUGGUUUGAGAGGAUGAUCAGCCACACUGGGACUGAGACACGGCCCAGACUCCUACGCGAGGCAGCAGUGGGGAAUCUUAGACAAUGGGGGCAACCCUGAUCUAGCCAUGCCGCGUGAGUGAUGAAGGCCUUAGGGUUGUAAAGCUCUUUCAGCUGGGAAGAUAAUGACGGUACCAGCAGAAGAAGCCCCGGCUAACUCCGUG
rnacentral:rRNA from 1 species